rnacentral:lncRNA from 1 species
CAUAAAAGGGGAGUUAUGAGCACGGUGGUCAUAUGCCUUGCUUUUCCAACCAGGACACUUCUAAAAAUGGAGAAACUCUUAAAAAUUAUGCCCGUGCAAAAAGUGUAAGCCAGGACCAUGGCCAUGCCUGGAAAACUGGAACCUAUGGUCACCUUAAUUAUGAGAAAAGGGCAAUUAAAAUGGAAUGCUAAUAGAAUCUAUUAGAACUGGAGGACCAGGGUUUAGUUUAGCAAACAGUGAUAUGUAUUUGACAAAUCUGAGGGAUAAAUAUGAAGCCAACCUCCUAUAUUAAUGUGGAAGGUGAAUAAUUUGAUUGGAGUUAUUAAGACCAUUAAAACUGAUUGCUUUAAGAUUUGUUGUUAUUCUGUUAGAUUAAAAGAUAAAUCACUGUCAGCUUUUUACUGGGACCCUCCCAACUAAAUCAAUCAAUGACUAACUUAGUGUGUGCCUUCUGUUUCCAGUCAUUUUGAUUUCAUUUUCACAGGCUGAUUUUUGCCCUUGAAGGUAGUCUUUGUUUUGUGUAUGUAGAAUGUGAACCUUGCCACUUGUUCAAGUACAGCUGUUGAAGAUUUUCAUUCAAAAAUAUGCAGUUACUUUGGUCGAAUUGAAAGCUUGCACAUCUUUAAGCCACUUAGGAGAAAUGUGUGUGUGAUUUAUAGAACAAGCAAACAAAGCAUGACCUUUCCUGAACUGAUUAACAGUGCUAUUCUUCAGAAUGGCAGUUUACUAUAGAUUCACUCACAUACAACAAUUUUAUAAAUGUGUAUAGGGUACAGUACAAAUAUGUAAUGUGAAUUUACAAUGGGCUUAAAAUAAAAUUUGAACCAAGCACUUAUACUAUACCAUUCUAAGAAAGAAAGUUCAAAUUAUUUUCCCUGAGCCCUGUUUAAUAGUCAUAAAAUAACACUUUAUAUCAAAUUUGCAAAUCCUUGGAAGAAAUUAUUUCCUUUCUAGUUUUAGUAUUAAGAUAUCUUUCAUUUUAAAUUACAGAUAUGUCCGCACACCGUACAUUUAUAUCGGCCUUAAAAUGGAAUAGAAUUUAAUUUGCUUAAACACCGUUAAAACUAAAUGCGGGCAGAGAGAUAUUUUUAAUUUUUUCUAACAAAUUUUAUUUCCCUUCCUAUGACCCAGAACAUUGUGUGAAAACAAAAGGAGUAUGAUAGGAAGUCAUUUGGAAAUCAAUUCUAACUUCUCAGGUCGGCCACUUUUGCAGUCUCAGAAAGCACUUUGAAACAGUAUAAAAUUACAGUUCUUUUUUUAUUUCUGUCUUGCAAUGUCAGGCUCUUUCCUAUCAAGUUAGAUAGGUUUAGAAUGAUUUGGGGUUAUCACACUGUUAAAAGAAGAUGCAUUCCAGAGUUCACAACACCGUAAUACAAGCCUUACCCUGGAUGAUGAGCUCAUGCAUCCGAAAAUAACAGUCCUUUACUGUUGAUGCUGCAGUUGCUGUUGGCAUUGUUUACUUUAAGUUCCUUGAGGGCAGGGACUGUCUCUGUUUAUCUCUAUCUCCUGAUUCUAUGCAUGGGGAGUGUUUUCUAAACAGAAUGUGAAUCUAUAAAACCCAAAUUUUAAUACUCUCAAGUUAAGAGAAUAUUACUAUUAUUGUAUAAUUUUACUUGUUUCCUUUUGGUUAAAAAGCAGAAUUUUGUGAAGCUGAGGUUCCUCUUUUCAAGGAAAUUCUUCAGAAAACCAUGCUAAAUACGUUUUUCCCUACCUCCUCCCCCAUACAGUAUUUAAUUUACCGCAGCUUAAUGCUCAUGAGCACACUGGAGGAAUAUUUCUCAGCAAUAGUCACAAACCUAUUUUAAAGUCAACUUAUUUUUCUUCCAGCACCACUCACAGUUCUAUUUCCUUUAAUGUGGAGUUAAUUUUCAGGUUGGACUUUGUUUCAGCAGGUUUUUAUUGUGUGAAUCCCAACUGAUUUAUAUAUAAGUAUAUAUAAAGAAAUGCUGUUAAUGUGGGGAGAACUAUUCCUAGAAAAAAACUGAGAAGUAGGCAGAAUCUGUUUUUGUGUCUUUCCCCACACAUCCUUUGAGCACUUCCCUCUGUUUCCCAAGGAAGCCACUAUUUCCUCAUUGCCUAGGCCCCUUCCUAUAACAGCAAGGCAUGCAGGAAAUGCUUAUGGGCAUUUUCUAACUGAUGUUUUGGGUUUUACACAAAACCAUGGAAUUGCAGUUUUGAAACAAUGAAUACUAUUUAACCAUGCAUAUGGAUGGCCCCCAAAUGAAAACAUGACUGUCUCUUAAAAUAACAAAACAAUUCAGACAAAUAGACAAGCUGACCUUUGAAGAAGGCUCAGUUAAUAUGAUCAUAUUUUAUUUAAAACCUUCCACAAUGACCAUCUGAAAUAUAAAAGCAAAGGUCAAGCCAAGGCCAUAUUUUAAAUUUUCAUUUUUAACCUAAGGCUAUUAAAGCAAAAUGAAAUUUAGAAAAUGAUUCAAUUUUGUUGCCAUAUUCAUAUAUGAGGACAAUUUACCUUUUAAAAUAAUUCAGCCUGGUUUUUCCCUGGAUGACUGAGGAGAAGGAUGCUUUGGAUUUUUGCAGAUUAAUAGGAUCAGAAUAUGGAGGAGAAAGUUGGAAAUGCUGCCACAGGAAAGGAAAAGAUUUUCCUACCUCAUCUGCCUGUGUGUUGUUGCCACUGAUCUGUAUUUGCUAUUUCCAAUAUCUUUAAAAAAGAAGCCAUGGAAGCAAGCAGUAGUCUCUCUUUAUCUUGAAGAGGAACAAAAUUUCCACCCCAAAAUGUGCCAAAUUUGACAUGUGGAUUAUUUCGAGUUGAGGUAAAUGAGACUUAGCUGACUUGAGAAAAACUUUUACCUCUUCCUUAACUUCCUAAAAGAAUUUAGAUAAGAGUCUGAUUCAGAAAUGGAGCUAUAACCAGGGAUAACUUUUUCUCAGAAAGACUUAUCUGCAUACUGGACAAACAUCUGAUAACCAAAUAUUUGCUCUUCUUAUCUCCCUGUGAAUGGUCCUCCUCUUUGAAGCCUCAGGCCCCUAUCCAAAUCCUUAGCUUAGGAUGGCAUAUAAGCCUCACUUGCCUGACUUUGGGUCUCAUAUUUUUAUAAGGAUCCUGUAUGUAGAAAAUUUAAUUUGUUUUUUCUCUCAUUAAUUUCUCUAAUGUCAGUUUUAAUUAUUAGACCAGCCAAAGAACUUAGAAGAAUAGAAGGAAAACCUUUUCACCCUCACAUUCUCAUCUAGGUCAUUGCCAAGUUGGUUUUCUUGGAUGCCCAAAGAGUGGACUGUAAUUUAUGGCAACAGUACAUUUGGGAAAUAGCGUUUCUAGGAAAGCAAAGAAAAAAAUUUUAAAGGUAAGCUAAGACCCAUUCCAUAUUUGAAAGGCAUAAAGCCAUUUUACUAUUAGAGAGAGCUCCAAGAAGUAGAACAGAAAAAAAGAAAUAGUGAGCAGUAAUCCUUUUCAAUUUUCUCUGCCCCCAAAUACUUCAAAUAAUUAAAUACAAAGAGAAUCCCUAAGAAGGUAAAUACAAAUAAGAGGGAAAAAAAUCUCUUUCAUGUUAGACAACACAACACCAAACUCACCAGAGGAAAACAAUCAAGCUUUCUGUCCUUGGUAACAAUAACAUACUGACUUUAAACUGUCCUAAAAUUCAAAACAAGAAUGUGCAAUUUUAUUCCUUUAAGCACAAAGAGGAUUCUUCUUUCUUCAUUUGUCUGGCUUUUUGAUAUUUUUUUGAUGUGUCUCCUGUGAAUUUUUAUUCUGAGAACUAACUCAUUUUCUUUAAGUGAAAUGACUGUAAUAAAAUGUGCAGAAUUGAUUGCUUAGAAGAUUGAUAUUCUUAAGAUUGCUGUCCUCUCUGUAGCCGUAUAGUAUG